GGGGCCUUAGCUUAGCUGGGAGAGCGCCUGCCUUGCACGCAGGAGGUCAGGGGUUCGAAUCCCUAGGCUCCACCA
rnacentral:tRNA from 1 species